rnacentral:lncRNA from 1 species
UCUGAUUAAUAUCAUUUUAAAACCAUAAUCUUAAAAACAAAAGCCCUAAUUAGAAUGUGUACUAAAAAUCACAAACGGGAAUCCUAAUAUACCUUUGAAAGUUCCUAUGUGAAUAUAAGCCUCCCAACACAAUCUCAGCUCACUGCAGUAGACGGUAUAGACAAGCUGGGUUCACAGGUCCAACUAUGCCAUUUUUUUCAGUCAAGAAAACUGAAGCAAAAAAAUGUGUUCACAGUCCCAAAGAUUUGAACUCAGGAGUGUUCAACUCCACUGACCAGAAAACCUUACUACCAAUAAGCCAUUCUGAAGAUACAUUAAAAUGACCGGGAUGAUUAAUUUUCACUGCAUUCCUACAUUUUGCUGGAUUCUCUAGCCUGGGAUACAUGAACUGUACCUUUAUUACAGGUUGUUAGAACUCCUUGUGUUAUGAACUGAAUGUUUGUGUCCCCUCCUAAAAUCCAAAUGUUGAAAGUCAAAAUCCCCAUUGUGAUGGUACUUGGAGGUGGAAUCAUUGGGAGGUAAUUGUCACAGAGGGCGGAACCCUCAUGAAUGAGAUUAGAGACACAGGAGACAUAAUCUUUCUUUCUCUUUCCAUCUUGUACGGAUAUGACAAGAAAAUGGCUAUGUGACCCAGGAGGAUAGCCUUCACGAAGAACCUCACCAUGCUGGUACCUUGAUCUUGGAUUUCCAGCCUCCAGACUGUGCAUCAUGCACGAUAGAACUGCUGUACCCCAAAGCAAGCCAUAAAAUCUAGGAAGACUAUCUGACCCUCUCUUCUCCUCCCUGAAGACCCUUACAUGACAAGUGUCAUGCCCUAUGCCCAGAGGAAGAAAUGCUACACAGAGAGGCCAAGAAAAAUCUGAACACACAGGACUUGUUGGAAUUCCCCUCAAGUUAUUAUCAUUACAUCAUGCCUUUUUUGUCCAGUCAUAUUUCUACACAGCUGUCCAUUCUUCAUCGAACCUAAGCUUAAGAAUAUGCACUUCUCCCUGGGUCUCUGGGUCUUCAUUUCUGAGCGCUCCCAUGUGAUGUAAAAUUUUGAUUAAAUAAAUUUUUUCUUGAUAA